GACGAACGCUGGCGGCGUGCCUAAUACAUGCAAGUAGAACGCUGAAGGAGGAGCUUGCUUCUCUGGAUGAGUUGCGAACGGGUGAGUAACGCGUAUGUAACCUGCCUGGUAGCGGGGGAUAACUAUUGGAAACGAUAGCUAAUACCGCAUAAUAGCAGUUGUUGCAUGACAACUGUUUGAAAGGUGCAAUUGCACCACUACCAGAUGGACCUGCGUUGUAUUAGCUAGUUGGUGGGGUAACGGCUCACCAAGGCGACGAUACAUAGCCGACCUGAGAGGGUGAUCGGGCACACUGGGACUGAGACACGGCCCAGACUCCUACGGGAGGCAGCAGUAGGGAAUCUUCGGCAAUGGGCGGAAGUCCGACCGAGCAACGCCGCGUGAGUGAAGAAGGUUUUCGGAUCGUAAAGCUCUGUUGUAAGAGAAGAACGAGUGUGAGAGUGGAAAGUUCACACUGUGACGGUAUCUUACCAGAAAGGGACGGCUAACUACGUG
rnacentral:rRNA from 1 species